UACAGAGGUCCCGAGCGUUGUUCGGAUUCACUGGGCGUAAAGGGUGCGUAGGUGGUGAGGUAAGUCGGAUGUGAAAUCUCCAGGCUCAACCUGGAAACUGCAUUGGAAACUACCUUGCUGGAGGAUUUGAGGGGGGAUUGGAAUACUUGGUGUAGCAGUGAAAUGCGUAGAUAUCAUUUGGAACGCCAAUGGUGAAAACAGGUAGCUGGGGCUGUGCUGACGCUGAGACACGAAAGCCAGGGGAGCAAACGGG
rnacentral:rRNA from 1 species